rnacentral:rRNA from 1 species
UACGGAGGGUGCGAGCGUUGUCCGGAAUCACUGGGCGUAAAGGGCGCGUAGGUGGCCUGUGGAAGUCUGCGGUGAAAGCCCGGCGCUCAACGCCGGGUCGGCCGUGGAUACUCUCGGGCUCGAGCUUACUAGAGGCAGAUGGAAUUCCGGGUGUAGCGGUGGAAUGCGUAGAGAUCCGGAAGAACACCAGUGGCGAAAGCGGCUCUCUGGGGACCACCUGACGCUGAGGCGCGAAAGCGUGGGGAGCGAACCGG